rnacentral:lncRNA from 1 species
AUACAUUAAAAAAAAAAGAUUGAUAGAAUUUAAAUUAAUUUUAUAUUUUAUAAAAUUUAAUUGCGAGAAUUAUCAAAAUAUCGUUGACUUGCUCAAAUCUAACAUAUAAAGAAUUGGAUAAAAAAAAUUGAAAGAUUGGAUUUACACUUUCAUCCUUAAAAUAAAAAUAUAGGACGAAUAAUACUUUAAUCCCCACAUUUUAAUGUAUUAUGAUUUAAAUAAUGAGGUAUGUGAUAUUUUUAUUCUCAAAUUUUAAUUAGUUGUUUAUUUUUCGAUUGUUUAUAUUAUAUAAAUUUUUAACUCUUUGUUUUGUUAUUUUUAAAUUUAUUUAUUUAUUUAUUUCUAUGAAGUCGUUCCGCCGCAACGCGCGGGUCCUUCACUAGUUAUAGAUUAAUUAAUUUCUUCAACACCCUCCUAAAAGAUUAUAAUUUUAUAAAUAUUCCUUCGAAUUAGAAAAAAUUAUCUGUGCUCUUAUACACAUCAAAGACUAUACCGGUUUUGGUUUUGGUUUGAAAUUUAGAGGGACAUUUGCAUAUUUUGAGAGGUAUGGAUGAUAAAUUUGUGUGUUUAGGAGGGAAUGAAUGACAUUUUACAUUUUGAAGGAACAUGUAUGAUAUUUUAAAAUUUUAGAAGGUUAUGUUUGAAUCGAACACUGUGGAGCCUUUAUUUAUUUAUUUAUUUAUUUCUCUCUUUUCUUGGUAAGAAUCUAUUGAACAGUUCUGAUGAUGACUACGUUCAAUGCGACUAAUUGUCAAUAAUAAUAUCAAGUUUGCUUACGUCACCAUCCGACCAAAUUAGGUGGCAAUAUGUUCAUCGAAAUCUGCACACAUUUUCCUCAUGAUUUAGUCACCAUUCGAAAUCAGUUAGGAACAUGUCCAUUUUCUUUCUUACAGUUCUAUUGAUUCAUAACAUCCAGGUUCAUGCUUCCUCAAAGGAUGAUAUACUGUUUCUUUCCCUUUUCUAUUAUUUUUGCAAUUUGCGAUACUACAUGAAAAUUUGUUUUUAAUAUCAAAUAAGUAUUAUAUGGAUCGACUAAUUGGUAAAUUUUCUUCAAAUUGUCUUCACUUGGUGGUAAAUCUGAUAGUAAAUUAUUCGAUCUGUAUUUAUGACUUGUACGUGUUAUAUUGUGCAUCAGAGCUAUUGUGUUAUAUUGGGCUUCAUUGGGCCCCAUGACCCGCUUAGUUGGGCUAAUCCGUUCUUCAAUGUACAAGGCCUAAAGUUUCUAGUAUUAAAAGUGGGCUGUAGAUCUUUAAAUUAGGGCCCACUCUACCAUUUUCUAUUGAGCGCUGAUAAAUGCUAUAUAGUCAAUAGGAUUUUGAGAGGACCGUAGAUAUGCUUAAGGCCCAUUUUUAUAGUUUAAUAGUUAUGCUUAUAUAUAUAUAUUUUUUUUCAGUAGGACCGUAUCGCUUACCACAAUGUUAUUAUAUGUAUCUCUUAUUUAGUUGUUUUAAGACUCACAAGCCUGGGGCAUGGAUCCUUUUUAUAAAAGUGUUAGAGGAAAUUUAACUUGUGACAUUUGGGAUGGUAAUAAAGUUGUUGUUUGUGAGAUACUAGAUGUUUGCAUUUGCUGCUUUCCGAACUGAAAAUUAUCAGUAACUACUACCUUGGAGAAAGUAAACAUCGAUCUCUCCCUCACACGCACGCAAUGCGUGCGUGCACACACAUCUUUUACUACAUAUUAUAUAGACAUGUAUCGGGGGGUGUGGUUGAACUGAUAGUGUUAUGUUCAAUACUUGCAAAAUAUGAUUUGAGUACCAAGGUAUCAGGACAAGUUUGGGAAGCUUAUUAUC